rfam:Punica granatum cultivar Dabenzi scaffold302, whole genome shotgun sequence.
AUCUUGGCGCUUGGGGCAAUGACGCCGUCGGGGAAGAUCCGACUGAGGUGCGUCGAUUGCUGGUUGAAAACUAUUUCCAAACCCCCUCUCCGGCCUGGGCUUUGCCCCCUCGCACCGGAGGGGUAAA